GACGAACGCUGGCGGCGUGCCUAAUACAUGCAAGUUGAGCGCUGAAGGUUGGUACUUGUACCCACUGGAUGAGCAGCGAACGGGUGAGUAACGCGUGGGGAAUCUGCCUUUGAGCGGGGGACAACAUUUGGAAACGAAUGCUAAUACCGCAUAAAAACUUUAAACACAAGUUUUAAGUUUGAAAGAUGCCAUUGCCUCACUCAAAGAUGAUCCCGCGUUGUAUUAGCUAGUUGGUGAGGUAAAGGCUCACCAAGGCGAUGAUACAUAGCCGACCUGAGAGGGUGAUCGGCCACAUUGGGACUGAGACACGGCCCAAACUCCUACGGGAGGCAGCAGUAGGGAAUCUUCGGCAAUGGACGAAAGUCUGACCGAGCAACGCCGCGUGAGUGAAGAAGGGUUUCGGAUCGUAAAACUCGGUUGGUAGAGAAGAACGUUGGUGAGAGUGGAAAGCUCAUCAAGUGACGGUAACUACCCAGAAAGGGACGGCUAACUACGUG
rnacentral:rRNA from 1 species